GUGGGGAAUUUUGGACAAUGGGCGCAAGCCUGAUCCAGCAAUGCCGCGUGUGUGAAGAAGGCCUUCGGGUUGUAAAGCACUUUUGGCAGGAAAGAAAUAGUGCGUGCUAAUACCAUGCGCGAAUGACGGUACCUGCAGAAUAAGCACCGGCUAACUACGUGCCAGCAGCCGCGGUAAGACGUAGGGUGCAAGCGUUAAUCGGAAUUACUGGGCGUAAAGCGUGCGCAGGCGGUUUUGUAAGACAGGUGUGAAAUCCCCGGGCUCAACCUGGGAACUGAACUUGUGACUGAAAGGCUAGAGUGUGUCAGAGGGAGGUGGAAUUCCGCGUGUAGCAGUGAAAUGCGUAGAGAUGCGGAGGAACACCGAUGGCGAAGGCAGCCUCCUGGGAUAACACUGACGCUCAGGCACGAAAGCGUGGGGAGCAAACAGGAUUAGAAACCCGGGUAGUCC
rnacentral:rRNA from 1 species